CCUGUUCACCAGGGCCCUCAUUCUCGGCUCUGCCCAGAGGCUCGGGUUUAGGGAGUGGAACUGUGCUUUGGGGCGUGCUGCAGGAUGCCUUGGCACACUCCCCGCCGGGGAACAGCCAGAGUCUCCUGCUGCUCAUGCUGCUUUUCAGGCAGCCACAGUCUUCCUAAAGCCAAGCAAGUACACAGACCGUGACCUUCCCAGAG
rnacentral:lncRNA from 1 species